AGAGUGAACGCUGGCGGCAGGCCUAACACAUGCAAGUCGAGCGGCAGCGCGGGUAGCAAUACCUGGCGGCGAGCGGCGGACGGGUGAGGAAUACAUCGGAAUCUACCCUGUCGUGGGGGACAACGUAGGGAAACUUACGCUAAUACCGCAUACGACCUUCGGGUGAAAGUGGGGGACUCGCAAGAGCCUCACGCGAUUGGAUGAGCCGAUGUCCGAUUAGCUAGUUGGCGGGGUAAUGGCCCACCAAGGCGACGAUCGGUAGCUGGUCUGAGAGGACGACCAGCCACACUGGAACUGAGACACGGUCCAGACUCCUACGGGAGGCAGCAGUAGGGAAUCUUGCGCAAUGGGCGAAAGCCUGACGCAGCCAUGCCGCGUGAAUGAUGAAGGUCUUAGGAUUGUAAAAUUCUUUCAGCGGGGACGAUAAUGACGGUACCCGCAGAAGAAGCCCCGGCUAACUUCGUGCCAGCAGCCGC
rnacentral:rRNA from 1 species